AUUGAACGCUGGCGGCAUGCCUUACACAUGCAAGUCGAGCGGUAACAGGUCUUCGGAUGCUGACGAGUGGCGAACGGGUGAGUAAUACAUCGGAACGUGCCUAGUAGUGGGGGAUAACUACUCGAAAGAGUGGCUAAUACCGCAUGAGAUCUACGGAUGAAAGCAGGGGAUCGCAAGACCUUGUGCUACUAGAGCGGCCGAUGGCAGAUUAGGUAGUUGGUGGGAUAAAAGCUUACCAAGCCGACGAUCUGUAGCUGGGCUGAGAGGAAGAUCAGCCACACUGGGACUGAGACACGGCACAGACUCCUACGGGAGGCAGCAGUGGGGAAUUUUGGACAAUGGGCGCAAGCCUGAUCCAGCAAUGCCGCGUGCAGGAUGAAGGCCUUCGGGUUGUAAACUGCUUUUGUACGGAACGAAAAGCCCUGGGUUAAUACCCUGGGGUCAUGACGGUACCGUAAGAAUAAGCACCGGCUAACUACGUGCCAGCCGCCGCAGUAAGAC
rnacentral:rRNA from 1 species